rnacentral:rRNA from 1 species
UACAGAGGUCUCAAGCGUUGUUCGGAUUCAUUGGGCGUAAAGGGUGCGUAGGCGGCGCGGUAAGUCGGGUGUGAAAUCUCGGAGCUUAACUCCGAAACUGCAUUCGAUACUGCCGUGCUUGAGGACUGGAGAGGAGACUGGAAUUUACGGUGUAGCUGGUGAAAUGCGUAGAUAUCGGGAGGAACACCUGUGGCGAAAGCGGCGCACUGGACCAUAACUGACGCUGAGGCGCGAAAGCUAGGGGAGCAAACAGG